rnacentral:rRNA from 1 species
GGAAUUUUGCACAAUGGAGGAAACUCUGAUGCAGCGACGCCGCGUGAGUGAUGAAGAUCUUCGGAUUGUAAAACUCUGUCCUUAGUGAAGAUAAUGACAGUAACUAAGAAGCAAGCCCUGGCUAAAUACGUGCCAGCAGCCGCGGUAAUACGUAUGGGGCAAGCGUUGUCCGGAAUUAUUGGGCGUAAAGGGUACGUAGGCGGUUUAAUAAGUCCUAAUUAAAAGGCUAUGGCUCAACCAUAGUAUGGUUAGGAAACUGUUGAACUUGAGUAGAUGAGGGGAAAGUGGAAUUCCAUGUGUAGCGGUGAAAUGCGUAGAUAUAUGGAGGAACACCAAUGGCGAAGGCAACUUUCUGGAAUCAAACUGACGCUGAGGUACGAAGGCGUGGGGAGCAAACAGG